AUGGCGGCGAUCAACGCGCCGCUGCAUCCUCCCCUCGCCGUAUUCGCCGCCGCGCCCUGCCACGGAGUGCGCUUCCGCCGCGCUCCACUCAUCCGCACGGCGGCCUCCUCCUCAUCGUCUUCGCCUUCGUUCUCCUCGUCCUCCUCUUCCUCCUACGGAGGUGGUGGGGGCGGGGCCGGGGGAGGGGGCGAGAUCCACUACGUCUCGCCGCCUCCCCCGCCCUCCACGCCCUCUGGGGCGCCCGUGUACGUCACGCUUCCGGUUGACGCCGUGGGUGCAGGGGGACGCGUGGCGCGGAGGCGGGCCAUGGCGGCUUCGCUCGCCGCGCUGGCGAGCGCCGGGGUGACAGGGGUCGCGGUGGAGCUGUGGUGGGGCGUCGUAGAGCGCGGGGGGCCUCGGGAGUACGACUGGGCGGGGUACCUCGACCUCGCCGCCAUGGCGAGGCGCUGCGGGCUCCGCGUGCGCGCCAUCCUCGCCUUCCACCAGUGCGGCGCCGGGCCACAAGACUCAUUCUGGGUCCCUCUUCCACAAUGGGUGCUUGAGGAGAUGGAGAAGAUGCCAGAUCUGUCAUAUACUGAUAGAUAUGAAAAGAGAAACAAGGAAUACAUCUCAUUGGGAUGUGACAUUCUUCCACUUCUGAAGGGGAGAUCACCUAUGCAAGCUUAUGCUGACUUCAUGAGGAGCUUCCGCGACAAUUUCAAGGAGUACCUUGGGGCCAUAGUGACGGAAGUUCAAGUUGGAAUGGGCCCAGGAGGUGAGCUUAGGUAUCCAUCAUGCCCAACCGAGAAGCUAAAUCAGCCAGGCAGCUCAUCUGAACUUGGGGAAUUUCAAUGUUAUGACAAGUUCAUGCAAGCAUCAUUGAGUGCUCAUGCGCGGAUUCUUGGGGUUCAAGAGUGGGGAGGUGGUGGUCCAGCUGGCAUAGAUGGCUCGCGGCAGAACCCUGAAGAGACAAACUUUUUCCGUGCCGAUGGAGGAUGCUGGAAUACACCUUAUGGCCGAUUUUUCCUCGAGUGGUAUUCCGGAAUGCUUCUUCUCCAUGGAGAGAGGUUAUGCGCGGUCGCUGACGCCGUCUUUUCUGGCACCGGCGUGACCAUCUCGGGGAAGGUUUCCGUCAUACAUUGGCACUACUACACAUGUUCACACCCAUCCGAGCUGACAGCCGGCUACUACAACACAUUGCUAAGAGACGGCUAUCUCCCCGUCGCCCAAAUGUUCUCUCGACACAGAGCUGCCCUGUGCUGCGGCUGUUUCGACCUGAGGGACGAGGAGAGAAGCGGUCCUCAGAGCAGCCCCGAAGGCACUCUCCGGCAACUGAUGGCUGCCGCUAAGGUAUGGAACCUACCUCUCAAUGGUGAGAACUCCGUGGAGAGGCUGGACGACGCGUCACUGAGCCAGGUCGUCAGAAGCUCGAGGCGCUACUCGGGCGGCACCUCGGGCGCGUCUUUCUCCUUCAACUAUGUCAGGAUGAACAAGAGCCUGUUCGAGUCACACAACUGGAACCGGCUUACGAAGUUCGUCAGGAAGAUGUCGGAUGCCAGAACCUUUCUGGCUAGACUGAACUUCAGGAGACGCCAAUGUCUGCCUUCAAUGUCAGUUGUUUGGGUUGCUAGCCAGGCCUAUGCAUACACCUGA
rnacentral:rRNA from 1 species